rnacentral:rRNA from 1 species
GUACCCGCUGAACUUAAGCAUAUCAAUAAGCGGAGGAAAAGAAACCAACAGGGAUUGCGUCAGUAACGGCGAGUGAAGCGGCAACAGCUCAAAUUUUAAAGCUGGCGUCCUCGACGCCCGCGUUGUAAUUUGGAGAGGCAUCUUCGGUUUGGGCGCCAGCCUAUGUUCCUUGGAACAGGACGUCACAGAGGGUGAGAAUCCCGUGCUUGGCUGGCUGUCCCUCUCCAUGUGAAGUGUCUUCGACGAGUCGAGUUGUUUGGGAAUGCAGCUCAAAAUGGGUGGUAAAUUUCAUYUAAAGCUAAAUAUUGGCGGGAGACCGAUAGCGCACAAGUAGAGUGAUCGAAAGAUGAAAAGCACUUUGAAAAUAGAGUUAAAAAGUACGUGAAAUUGUUGAAAGGGAAGCGCUUGAGACCAGACUCGGCCGGAGACGAUCAGCGGUCCUUUUGGGCCGUGCACUCGUCCUCGGUUGGGCCAGCAUCGGUUGAGACGGUGGGAUAAAGGUCUGGGGAAUGUGGCUCCUUUCGGGGAGUGUUAUAGCCCCGGGCGCAAUGCCGCCAGCCUCGACCGAGGACCGCGCUCUUUUGCUAGGAUGCUGGCGUAAUGGUCUUCAGCGACCCGUCUUGAAACACGGACC